UACAGAGGGGGCAAGCGUUGUUCGGAAUUACUGGGCGUAAAGGGCGCGUAGGCGGCCUUCUAAGUCGAACGUGAAAUCCCCCGGGCUCAACCCAGGAACUGCGUCCGAUACUGGUUGGCUUGAAUCCGGGAGAGGGAUGUGGAAUUCCAGGUGUAGCGGUGAAAUGCGUAGAUAUCUGGAGGAACACCUGUGGUGUAGACGGCUUUCUGGACCGUAGCUGACGCUGAGAACACGAAAGCGUGGGUAGCAAACAGG
rnacentral:rRNA from 1 species